rnacentral:lncRNA from 1 species
AGUGUAGCAAGAUCGAUGAUUCAGUGAUAACAAAGUGACUUACCUUCUCCUUCAUCUAUGCACAUUCAAGGUAACUACUGAACCGUUGUUUGGGAACUACGUACUGAACCAUUGCCUGCUAUCCAGCUGAACCGUUGCCUGCUAUCCAGCUGAACCGUUCGGCCACCAUCCAUGAGAAGAUGAUGGAAAUGUGGAAAAGCAAUUUCAUUGUGAACUGUUGCCUGCUAUCUAGCUAAGAUGUUUGCUGUCAGUUCCGGGACUGAUAUAUAUAUGCUUAUGAUGUGUAUUUUGAGACAGAUGGAUGUAAAUAGUUUUUUGGUAGACUUGCGUUCUGCAAUGGGUGGCCAUGUAUGUGUGAGCCCAUGAAUUAUACUAAUUCAAUAAGCUAGUGGUGGUGCUUGCAUGUUUGUGGGGGCCCU